rnacentral:lncRNA from 1 species
GGAUUUUUAAAGGAUCCUCGCUUUCAGAUCUCUGUGAAUUGAAACCAAGUGAAUCCCACUAGACUAUUUUAAGAAGUCGAUAUAAUAGCAAAAUUUCUCCCACCCAAAACUAUGUCAACAAUUGGAUGUACUCAUCAAGUCACCCUUACUCUGCCACUAAUUUAUUUCCUUGUUGCUGAAAUGAUGAGAGAGGUAUAAUCUCCACCCUCACGGAGUUGUCAUCACCCUGGAGAGGAAGGAGAGAGCCAAAAGACAUACGUAUUGUCUUGUAGACUUAUUAGAUUUACA